AAGUCGUAACAAGGUUUCCGUAGGUGAACCUGCGGAAGGACCAUUCUUGUACUUGGCAUUCAUGCCAUUACAAACCAACAACUGUGUGAACUGUACCUUUGACAACUGUUGUUGUCGGAGAACGGCCUUGGUAGAAGGCGGGGCGAACGUCCAACGACUAGUAGCUUGCGCGCUAUCAUGUGUUUUUCGGCGACAGUAGUAACAACCACGUACUUCAAUAAUCUAUCUGUACUUAACCAUACAACAAUAUACCAAAUACAACUUUUAGCAACGGAUCUCUAGGCUCUC
rnacentral:misc_RNA from 1 species